GAGAAGUCAGGAGAGCCAGAUUAUAAAGAUGUUUGUAGGCCAUGCCACAAAAUUAUCGCAUCUUGUUAUCUCAUGAAACUUUCUCUAAGUUCCAUUAGAAAUUUUUAAAAAUUAGGUUUUAACCUAAGCGUAAGAAUCAAAUAUACAUUAUUAGAAACAUUACUAUCUUGACAGUUUGAAAAAUAAAGUUGAUUAGAAUACAUAUGAAUACAUAAGAAGGCUGAUAACAAGGAAUAUAUAUAGGAGGAUAUUUCAACAGUCAUUAUGUAAAUAAUUUGGGUCAGUCCUUUUGUCAGCUACUAUUUGUAGUAGUAAUAGUGUUGUUAUUUAACAAUUUUUAAAGCAUCAAUAAAAUGUCUACCUUCCUAUGUUUUUACAAAUAUGUAUGCUUUUACAUACUGUGCAUAUUUCUAUAUGUGUGUAUAUGUAUGCAUGUGAUAGGUUUAUGUAUUAACUUCAUAAAUGUAAAUAUAUAUGUUUUGUGCUUUAUGUAUAUAUAUUCAACUUCAUGUGUUAACUUUGUAUGUAUGCUUUUUGUUUUAACAUUAUAUAUGUAAAUACUUUAUCUGUUAGCUUUAUAUAUGCAACAUACAUGUAUGCACAUAGACAUACACAUAUAUAAUAGCUGUGUACAUUUGCUUACAUGUGUAUUUGUAUAUAGUUUAAUAUAUAUAAAAUAAAAUGGGCAUGAAGUUGUAAAUGUUAGAAUUAAAACUGAAAUGACCUAA
rnacentral:lncRNA from 1 species